rnacentral:piRNA from 1 species
UCAGUGGUAUAAACUCUUCUAAAAGAC